rnacentral:rRNA from 1 species
CGCUGGCGGCAUGCCUAACACAUGCAAGUCGAACGAGACUUCGGUCUAGUGGCGGACGGGUGAGUAACGCGUAGGAACCUGCCAAGCAGUGGGGAGUAACAGCUGGAAACGGCUGCUAAUACCGCAUACGCCCUUCGGGGGAAAGAUUUAUCGCUGUUUGAGGGUCCUGCGUUCGAUUAGUUAGUUGGUGAGGUAACGGCCCACCAAGGCGACGAUCGAUAGCUGGUCUGAGAGGAUGAUCAGCCACACUGGGACUGAGACACGGCCCAGACUCCUACGGGAGGCAGCAGUGGGGAAUAUUGGACAAUGGGGGAAACCCUGAUCCAGCAAUGCCGCGUGCGUGAAGAAGGCCUUAGGGUUGUAAAGCGCUUUCACCUGUGAUGAUGAUGACAGUAGCAGGAGAAGAAGCCCCGGCUAACUCCGUG